CAAUCGGCAGCCGAGUGCCUUUUGGAUCUUGGAAAAGAAAAUGUCUGGGUCUCACACGCCAAGUUCAUGUGAAGAUGUUGAGGUAAUGUAAAAUAAGUAUAAUAAUUGAAACACAGUGGAUUUUAGAUAUAAUAUUUGUAAUUCAUGUUGUUCGUAGCCAUGGUAAUCAUUUAUAUCUUGAAUCUUUUUCAUACUGUAUGAAUAAAAUAAAAAAUAUACAUUUUAUGCACUGUUGAGCAUGUUUAUUUACAUUUUUGUAGUUUGAAUAAUGUAACAUUUCAAUCAUACCUCAAUUUUUUCAUGUUUGUACUACAGAAGAUGUAUAUAUACAGUAUGUAUAUUAAUGAAAUUUAUCCUGUUGAACUUACUUUAAAUAAAGCUAAUACUAACAAUGACCACUGCCCUUUUCUCGAUCUUGAUAUCUAUAUCACUAAUGGAAAGCUGAAUACUAAAAUUUAUGAUAAAAGGGAUGAUUUUUUCAUUUCCUGUCGUUAAUUAUCCGUUGUAGAUGGUGACGUUCCCUUGUCACCAUCUUACGGUGUUUAUAUAUCUCAACUUGUACGAUUCGCUCGUGUAUGUAACAAUGUUUUCGAUUUUAACGAGAGAAAAUUUAUGUAUUACUGAAAAAUUAUUACACCAGGGUUUUCGAAUAUCACAAACUAGUCAAAACAUUUACUAAAUUUUAUCAUCGGUAUAUAAGACAUCAUUCGUAAAUAUAGCUCAACAUGCAGACUUCUAAUACGUUCAGGUAUUUCACAUCCAAUUUUUUAUGGUAAUAUUCUUUAUAAAGCACAAAGGUGUCAGUAUUCACCUCAGAAACUUACAAAACCUUUGAAUAGACUUAUUAAGAAGGGAUAUAAUUACGAUACUGUUGUCAAGUCAUUAAAGAUUGCAUAUUUUGGCGUUAAUAUUGAGUCACUGAUAAGGUCUUUGCAUCGGAACUAAACACAUUUAUUCUAAAAACAGUUGUUGGCAUGACACGGGUUAUGUUCUUCUCAUAUAUGUUAUGAUGGUAUGAUACUAAACCCCUAACGGGAAGGAUUGUGCCUGAUGUUCAUAUGAUGAAAUCAUAAUCUUUCAGUCAGUUUAAUUGAAGUCUGGAGCUGGCAUGUCAGUUAACUGCUAGUAGUCUGUUGUUAUUUAUGUAUUAUUGUCAUUUUGUUUAUUUUCUUUGGUUACAUCUUCUGACAUCAGACUCAGAUUUCUCUUGAACUGAAUUUUAAUGUGCGUAUUGUUAUGCGUUUACUUUACUACAUUGGUUAGAGGUAUAGGGGGAGGGUUGAGAUCUCACAAACAUGUUUAACCCCGCCGCAUUUUGCGCCUGUCCCAAGUCAGGAGCCUCUGGCCUUUGUUAGUCUUGUAUUAUUUUAAUUUUAGUUUCUUGUGUACAAUUUGGAAAUUAGUAUGGCGUUCAUUAUCACUGGACUAGUAUGUAUUUGUUUAGGGGCCAGCUGAAGGACGCCUCCGGGUGCGGGAAUUUCUCGCUACAUUGAAGACCUGUUGGUGACCCUCUGCUGUUGUUUUUAUUUGGUCGGGUUGUUGUCUCUUUGACACAUUCCCAUUUCCAUUCUCAAUUUUAUGUAUAUUGUUGCAUGUAGCUUGUUGUUCGGUGUGAGUCAAGGCUCCGUGUUGAAGGCCGUACCUUCACCUAUAAUUGUUUCAUAAAUUUUUUUUUGGAUGGAGAGUUGUCUCAUUGGCACUCAUACCACAUCUUCCUAUACCUAUAUAUACAAGUGUUGCACAUUAGUCAAAUUACCAUUCGUAGGCUACGCGUACCCACAUCCGGUUUUACAAUAAAAUGGCAUCGGAUUGGGAACAUGGGGAAUGAAACGUGAAAUAUGAUCAAAUAUAAACGAAAUUUGUUGCAGUUAGUGAAUAAAUUGACUAAAACCACUCAGAAGUUUUAAUUUAUAAAUAUUUAUAUAUAGGUAUACAUUUUAAAGUUAUCAUGAAGAAUUGUAACUAUCAGUCAAUCAAUUUUAUACAAUUGUAUAAAAGAAACUUGGAGUCAAUAGACAACUUUCGAGUUCGAUGUUGUUUGGACUGGUAACAUUUGAAAUGUGCAGGGUUGAAAAAUGUGCCAAAACAUUUAACCUAUUGGAUAUAUAAAAUUUGUUCAAAAUCUUUUAAACUAGUUACAUAAAUCUUAUAAAAUUGGUUUAUUAUGACAUUAUUACCUGCUUCUUUUAUUCAGUUUUAUAAAGACAUCCAAGCUUUAAGUAGUUUUUAAGAUGUUUUUAUAAUUUCAGUUUCUGUUUUACAUUUAACUAAAAGAUUAUUUUUAAAUCUCAUAUGGGUAGUUUUCAAAUUCAGUAAAAUCUAAUUCUUUAAAUAUGCAUUUACAUUUUAUAAUAGUACUAAUUUUUAUCAUAAAAUUGAGAAAGGAAAUGGGGAAUGUGUCAAAGCGACAACAACCCAACCAUAGAGCAGACAACAGCCGAAGGCCACCAAUGGGUUCUUCAAUGUAGCGAGAAACUCUCGCACCCGUAGGCGUCCUUCAGCUGGCUCCUUAAGAAAUAUGUAUACUAGUACAGUGACAAUGGACGCAUAUACUAAACUCUGAAUUAUACACAAGAAACUAAAAUUAAAAGUCAUACAAGACUAACAAGGCCAAAACAUGCCAGAAGGCUCCUGACUUGGGACAGGCGGCAAAAUUGCGGCGGGGUUAAACAUGUUUAUGAGAUCUCAACCCUCCCCCUAUACCUCUACUAGCUAAUAAAAUGUAGCAAAAGUAAAUGCAAUAACACAUUACAUUAAAUUAAAUUCAGUUCAAGAGAAGUCCCGAGUCCGAUGUUAGAAGAUAUAAGUAUAACAAAAAAAAUAAAUAAAAUAAAUGACAAUUAAUACAUAAAUAACAGACUAGACUAGCAAUUAACUGACAUGCCAGCUCCAGACCUCAAUUAAACUGAUUGAAAAAUUAUGUCUUCAUCAUAUGAAUAUCAGACACAAUCCCUCCAUUUGGGGUUUAGUAUCAUACUAUCAUAAAAUAUAUGAUAAGAAUAACAUAACCUGUGUCAUGCCAACAACUGUUUUUAAAAAAAUAAAAUGUGUUCAGUUCAGUUCCGAUGCAAAGACCCUAUAAGUAAAUCAAUAUAUUAAAGCCAAAAUAUGCAAUCUUUAAUGACCUGUCAACAGUAUCAAAACUAUAUCCCUUCUUAAUAAGUCUGUUUAAAGGUUUUGUAAGACUUUGAAGUGAAUACUGACAUUUUUGUGCAUGUUUUUCAUUUACAGGGACUGUGAAGUUUCAUUUUCCAUCAGUGUGCAUUUAAUUUGCAAUAUGGUUAUUAUGUAUUAUUAUCUAAUAAAUACAAUUUAAACAUAUUAUUUUUCAUACUCUUCACUCGUUCUACACGAAAUCCCCACAUUAUCGAUAAUUUCCGUUUAUAUUUCACGUAUCAUUCCCGAUCAUUCCUGAUUUGAAAGCCUUUUAUUAGAAAACCUGAUGUGGGUAUGCGUAGCCUAUACGAAUGGCAUUGACUGUUUGUACCCCCAUGCGGGUACGCGCAGACAUUGCCUAUAAAUAAGAACUUGGAAGAUGAGGCAUGAGUGCCAAUAGAUUGUUUAGAUUUAGUUGUUGUUGUAUAACUUAUGUUAAUUUGUCUGUACAUUACAUUCUUUUUUUUUAUUUCAGAUACUGUCAUACCUAAUGCAGAGAAAAAUUGAAAUACAUUGAAAGUUCAUAAACAUGAAAUUGCGUUGGAUGUGCAGACUUAUAAAACACCUUAUCACCAUGAUCAACACCAAUUGUACGCUACUACUGGACUUCGCAAAGGUUCUGGUAAAAAUGUGACGUCAUAAUACAAAAUAUCUGAUGCCACAAUGGAAAAGUGAUUGUUGCUUGACAUAAAAAUAUUAAGCAACACAGAUUCUAGGGUCAACUGGCACAGAUUUCAAUUAACCAUUUUUAGGUGUAUUCAAAAGGGAGAAGGGAAUACCAAAGCACAUGCAAAUGACAAUCCAUUUCUUCUCAUAUCUGUAUAAAUAACUAACAUUCAAAUCUAGUUAAUAAAAGAUUGAAACCUUUUAUUUUGGUUCUGUUUUUCAGUUGACAGUUGUAAAAUUGUCACCCAA
rnacentral:lncRNA from 1 species